rnacentral:RNase_P_RNA from 1 species
GGAGUCGGCCAGACAAUCGCCGUCGCGCUUGCGCGAGGGAGGAAAGUCCGGGCUCCAUAGGGCAAGGUGCCAGGUAAUGCCUGGGCGGCGUGAGCCGACGGCCAGUGCAACAGAAAGCAAACCGCCGAUGGGCCGCAACGCAAGUUGUGUGUCACAGGCAAGGGUGAAACGGUGCGGUAAGAGCGCACCGCGAGUCUGGCAACAGACCGGCACGGUAAACCCCACCUGGAGCAAGACCAAAUAGGGAAGGUGUGCGACUCGUUCGCACGACACGCGGCCCGCGUGCCUUCCGGGUAGGUUGCUUGAGCACGAUGGCGACAUCGUGCCUAGAGGAAUGAUUGUCGCAGGCGCGCAAGCGUCUGGCACAAAACCCGGCUUACAGGCCGACUCCCUUU